UAAAACCUCUAUAAAUUAAUAAUGUUGGGACCAUGAAAAUCUAUUAAUUUAUAGAGUUUUUAAUUUAUCAAUAAAUUAAUAAUUCUUAAUUUAUAGAAAGAUUUUCCUAAUUUGGAAAGUUUUUCAAAAAAAAUUAAAAAAAUAAACUCUAAUAAAAACUAAUGUGUCUAUAUAUAGAUAUAUUUUGAAAAUUUUACCUAAUUAUUAAUUUAUAAUAUUGACG
rnacentral:lncRNA from 1 species